AUUGAACGCUGGCGGCAGGCCUAACACAUGCAAGUAGAGCGGAGCGGCGGACGGGUGAGUAAUGCCUAGGAAUCUGACUGGCAGUGGGGGGUAACGUCCGGAAUCGAGCGCUAAUACAGCCUACUAUCAGCUGCGCCGAGUUCGGAUAAGCUAGUUGGUGGGGUAAAGGCAUACAAAGGCGACGACCCGUAACUGGUCUGAGAGGAUGAUCAGUCACAGUGGAACUGGGACACGGUCCAGACUCCUACGGGAGACAGCGGAGGGGAAUAUGGGACAAUGGGCGAAAGCCUGAUCCGGACAUGCCGCGUGUGUGAAGAAGGUCUGUGGAUUGUAAAGUACUUUAAGUUGGGAGGCGUUACCAACAGAAUAAGCACCGGCUAACUUCGUGCCAGCAGCCGCGGUAAUAC
rnacentral:rRNA from 1 species